rnacentral:rRNA from 1 species
UACGUAGGGGGCAAGCGUUGUCCGGAAUCAUUGGGCGUAAAGAGCGUGUAGGCGGCCAGGUAGGUCUGCUGUGAAAACUCGAGGCUCAACCUCGAGACGUCGGCGGAAACCAUCUGGCUAGAGUCCGGAAGAGGAGAGUGGAAUUCCUGGUGUAGCGGUGAAAUGCGCAGAUAUCAGGAAGAACACCGAUGGCGAAAGCACUCUGCUGGGCCGAAACUGACACUGAGAGACGAAAGCUAGGGGAGCGAAUGGG